GAGGAAUAUUGGUCAAUGGGGGCAACCCUGAACCAGCCAAGUCGCGUGAAGGAUGAAGGUCUUAUGGAUUGUAAACUUCUUUUACACGGGAAUAAAGUGGGGGACGUGUCCCCCUUUGCAUGUACCGUGUGAAUAAGGAUCGGCUAACUCCGUGCCAGCAGCCGCGGUAAUACGGAGGAUCCGAGCGUUAUCCGGAUUUAUUGGGUUUAAAGGGUGCGCAGGCGGGAUGUUAAGUCGGCGGUGAAAUUUUGCAGCUCAACUGUAAAAGUGCCUUCGAUACUGGCCUCCUUGAGUGUGGAUGAAGUAGGCGGAAUUUGUGGUGUAGCGGUGAAAUGCUUAGAUAUCACGAGGAACUCCGAUUGCGCAGGCAGCUUACUAAGCCACAACUGACGCUCAUGCACGAAGGCGUGGGGAUCAAAC
rnacentral:rRNA from 1 species